CAUUUCCGGUAGCUAACGGUUCCAGAGCUCCCCGGGCCGGGAUUUGCGGCCCGGUAAACGGCGCUGUGAGCUGGACCCGGCGCCGGGGGCUGGAAACCGCCGGGAGACGAGCGCUGGCGGUUUUCAAACACAAACCUUGCUAGAGGCCGUGAACUUACUGAGUAGCCCAGAGUAUUCUUCAGCUACCCCUGGCUUCAGUCACUCGUCAACUUCAGAGAAUCAACACACCAGCGCCUUGGAGCACCAGCUGUGAGAGAAAAUAAAUGAACUAAGAAUUCAACUCAAGAAAUCAGAAAAAGAAUGAGAAAGAAAUCCCCAAGGAAAAGACCAUUUAGAUUGCCUGAGCCACUUGCUUCAGAGAAGAAAAGUUUGAGAAUAUGGAAUGAGCCCUUCCAAAGUCUCAGUUCAUCACAUGAUGUGCUUAGUGGCAUAACAUCACAACGUCUUGCUUGGAAUGAGCAUAGAUGGAAAAUUCUACAUCACUCUUGACAUCACCAGGGCUUCUCUCCAGUGUGGAUUCGCUGAUGUACAAUGAGGUGUGCGCUCUGCCGGAAAGCUUUUCCACACACAUCGCAUUCAUAGGGCUUCUCUCCAGUGUGGAUUCUUCGGUGUCCCAGAAGAUGUGAGCUAUAUCUGAAAGCUUUCCCACACACAUCACACUCAUAGGGCCUCUCUCCACUGUGGAUUCGCUGGUGUCCAACAAGAGCUGAACUAUGACUGAAAGCCUUUCCACACUCAUGACAUUCAUAUGGUUUCUCCCCACUGUGGAUUCUCUGGUGAUGGAAGAGGCCUGAACUCUGGCUGAAGCUUUUCCCACACUCCCUACACUGGUAUGGCUUCCCUCCAGUAUGGACUCUCUGGUGUUGUAUCAGAUGUGAGCUCAGAGAGAAAGCUUUCCCGCAGUCGUUACACUGGUAUUGUUUCUCUCCUGUGUGGGUCCUUUGGUGUUGAAUAAGGCCUGAGCUGUAAUGAAAAGCUUUCACAAUCAUUACAUUGGAAAGGUUUUUCUCCAGUGUGGGUCCUUUGAUGCUGAACAAGGUGUAAACCGUAAUAAAAGGCUUU